UGUGAACAGCCAGGCUUUGCUGGUAUGCAGUUGAUGACAGGGUGGUCAGGUCACUCUGUUCCUUUCGCCUCCGUUUUUCUUCCUCAUGUAAAACUUUCUUGAGCUGCAGGAAAAGCUGGUGCUUCUCUUCCUGUAGGGCCAAAAGCUUCUCCUGCAACUUCAGAAUUUGUUCCUUAGUCUCCUCUAGUGACUCUCUUCCAUCUCCUUUUUCUUCUCUUUUGUUCUUCCUUCAUCUUCCGUUCCGUCAUCUUGUCCACCUCUUCUUCCUCCUGCCGCUUGCACUCCCGCUCCAUCACAAUGUGCUUGGUGCAGUGCUCUGGCCAUGGCAUUGGAAAGCUUGGGGCGCUCCAAGAGUGCGGAUAUGGUGCUGCCUUGGGCACUCGGGCCUUGGGCGCCCGGCUCUGUCCGGACCUUAGACAGGGACCGCCUUCUCGGCGCUUUCUCCGUGUCUCCGUCGCGCCCUGGCCCCUGCGUCACAUCCGGAGGCUGGGCCGAAUCCUUCCGGAGUCCCACAGUGCUAUCAUAACAGCCGGGAAUCAUUUGAAAAUGAGCUUCUCUUCACUUGGCGUGUCAGUUACAGUACUGGUGCUCAGGAUUAAGAAUAUGGCAGUGCUUUGAGGAAAAGGAAAGAGAACAAGGUAGCAGCUUCAAAAGAAGAAGGUGGAGAGGUUGUAAUGGCAGUCACAACAGGAGAGUUCAACAGAGCACAUCUCCUUGCUACUCAAAGUGUGACCCAUGACCAGCAGUGUUGGCAUCACCAGGGAGUUUAUUAGGAGUACAGAAUCUCAAGCCAUACUCCAGACUACUGAACCAGACUCUGCAUUUUAACAAGAUCUCCAGGUGAUUCAUAUGUACGUUUAAGUUUGAAGAGUAGCACUCUAGAGACCACCUGCAUCUCUGUCUCCUGCGCUAGCCCAGCACCAACUUCUCUGACUGACUGUUAGGGGCCAAGGAGGCCAUGGAGCAUUGCAACUGUUCCUCAUUUGACCAUCCAUCACUCAAUGGGCCUGGCAGUGCAAUUCCAAGUGCUCAGAAGAGCCUUCUACAGGGGUUAUCAAUUCGAUAACCAACUCUCCCACUCUUUACAUACAUGCAAAUCUGGUGUGUCUGACUCAAAGUUCGUAGUCUUAACCUUUCCAUUGUAGAAGAACAUGGCUUUGGAGCUUCUGUCUUAAUGAAUACUUUCUUUUAUUCUAAUUUCUAGGUAUUUCCAAAUAUCUGGAAAAUGGCACCAGCCACUUUUGGUGCUUCCAAUAUAUAAGUGCUUCUGUUGUUCCCCCAAAAUCACUUAUAUCCUAAUAAGUAAUCCAUAAGUGAGCUGUCCAAAAAUUUUGUUCCUUAUUACAUUAUUGUAACAAUGACAAAUUAACUUUUCAUUAAGGACAAUAUACUACAAAUAUUAAAAGAAUGUAUUUUUAUUUCUCCUUUAAAUGACCAUACUUCAGUUCUUCCUUUAUAUAGGAUUUUUGACCCAGGGUAAUAGAGGAUGAAAGAAUGAAGGAAUGAAUAAAUGACUGAGAUUAUUUCUUUAGCAAGACAAUACAUUUAAAAUUAAGCUAUGGACAGAAAGUGGAUUUUUCUGAAUUGUUUUCACAUAUUCUGGACUCAGUCAGAAGUUUCUUCUGUCAAGUGGGUAAGCUGCCACUCCUUAUCUGACAGCUAGAUCACAAGGCUGCUGCCUUUAGGUAGAAGAACAAGAUUAUAAAGUAGGGGAAGGAAUAAGUAGCCAUUCCUUCUGCUCUUAAAGAAUGUGGGUUGCAGAGGGAGAGAGGCCGAUUGAUAGGGGUAGUCACGCACGUGUCCCACUUUCCCUGUGUUGGAAGCACAGUGGUUUUUAGAAAGGGCAUAAACAUGGAGCUGGGAAGGGAAACAAAUAACCCAUUCCAUAUGAUAAUAAUAAUAAUAGCUAGUAAGUCAGGCACUGUGGUACGUGCUUCAUAUAUCUCUUUGCAAUCAAACUUCAUAAGAACCCUGAUGUAAUUACUUUGUUUUAGUAGAUAAGAAACUGAAACUUACAGAAGGCAAGUGACUGGCUCAAGUUUAUACACUGCAUAAAUGGCAGAAGUAGAAUUUGAAUGGAUGUAUAUCUAAGUAAAGAGCCCACAUCUUUAACCACCAUGCUACAAUGCCAUUUUCAGUAACAGCUGAUCUAGAAUUGAGUUGCUUUGCAUGCCUAAAAGCUCUACUUCCUUGAAUCCCUCCUUCAUGCUGCCACCAAAGAGGUCCAUCUAUGAUAUAAACUGGAUUGUGUUACUCUUCCCUUUGGCUCAUGCCUGUAAUCCCAGCACUUCAGGAGGCAGAGGCAGGCAGAUCACGAGGUCAGGAGAUUGAGGCUGGUAGUAUCACAAUGUGUUCACUGGACAACUCUGUGGGGCCCUCCUGCCCAACUCCAAUCCAGGUAUUUAGAGGUUACAAUCUCUUGGGGGUUAUCACCUGUCCACUGUGAGUUGCAGCAUUAGGCCCGUGAAAAUGGGAGAUUGACCCACUCCACCCCAGCUGGGGCUUCAUAUCUUCUUUUUGAACUAAACCCUGCAAUUUAUGUAGCCUAUUCUGUCUAUGGCUUUCUAAUGUGUCUCUUUGAAUAUAAUGCCUCUUGAAUAUAGAAAUGUCAAGUCAUAAUAAAAUUGUGACAUUAAUGUUACCUCUAAGGGUGCCAAGUGCAAGGCACUAACAAUUUAAUAAGUUUGGGCUUUUGCAUGACCUAUGUUAAUAUGUGAUUUCUUGCUAUUUUGCAUGGCAAGGGAAGUUUUUCAGAAUUCAUUUGAUUGCAAGAUCAAUGUGAAAAUGCAUUAUCUGCCUGCCUUGAGCAUGGCCAACUGUUGACCUCUCCAAUUAAGUAGAGUUGAGAAUGAAAAUUCAAUUACAAUGAACAAAUGUUUCUUGAACAUUUUCCAUGUGUGAGGCCCUAUGCCAGGCCUUGUGGAGAAUAUGCAGAUCUAUGAGAUUUUUUUCCUAUCUUUGGGAUACUUGCAAGCAAGUUGAAGGAGGCACAGAUACAUGCACGGAUGAUCAUGGUAUCGCAUGCUAUCUUAACUUAUGAAAGCAGAGGAAAUGGAGUUAGGUAAGCUGAACUUUUUGUAGGUAGCCCCCCAUAGCAGGCAUGGCUGGUUCCUUGCCAUAUGUUCAUUCCCUUUCUAUGAGACUAAAACCCUACUCCUAUUUUUUAGGGCCUCUUCAUUGGAAAAGAGGAGUCCAUCUCCAGCUCAGUGACAAAUCUUGAUAGCUUUAUGCUUUUCAUGAUAAUUCCAUGCCUCUUGUCAGUGAUUAGUUAAGAGGUGGGCCUGUGACUCAGUUCUGGCCAAUGAAAUAUAAAGUCAAAUCUCUGGGUUCCUUUUGGAAAAGUUUUCUUGUAGUAGAAAGAGUUUAACAGUUAAGAGUACAGAUUCUGAAGUGAACCGCCUGGUUUAUAAUCCUGGGUCCACUGCUUACUAGCUGUGUGUCAUUAUAAGUCACUUAAUGUUUCGCCUCCACUUUCUCAUCUGUUAAAUGGGGUUAAUAUGUACCUAAUGGGGUUGUUGUGAGUAUCGAAUUAGUGAAUAUUUUGUAAAUAGACCAAGCAUUGGCAUUCCUGAGAGAGAAGGAGAAAGAGUAAGCAACUUGGAAAAUAUAUUUGAGGACACAGUCUUUGAAAAUUUCCCUAAUCUCACUAGAGAAGAUGACAUGAAAAUUUGAGAAAUACAGAGGUCCCCUACUAGAUACUAUACAAGAUGAUCAUCCCCAAGGCACAUAGUCAGCAGAUUCACCAAGGUCAAGGUAAAAGAAAAAAUCUUAAAGGCAGCUACAGAGAAGGGUUGGGUUACAUACAAAGGGAACCCCAUCAGGGUAGCAGCAGACCUCUCAGCAGAAACUUUACAAGCUAGAAGAGAUUGGGGACCUAUUUUCAGCAUCCUUAAAGAAAAGAAACUCCAACCAAGAAUUUCAUUUCCUGGCACACUAAGCUUCAUAAGCAAAGGAAAAGUAAAAUCCUUCUCACACAGGCAAAUGCUGAAGAAAUUCAUUAUAACUAGACCAGCCUUACAAGAGCCCCUUAAGGGAGUGAUAAACCUGGAGACAAAAUGAUGACACCUGUUAUCACAAAAACACACUUAAGGACAUAACCCACAGACACCAUAAAGGAACUAUACAAUCAAGUCUGGAAAGCAACCAGUUAACGAUAACAGGAUCAAAAUCUCACAUAUCAGUAUGAAAGGGGCUAAAUGCCUCCACUUAAAAGACAGAGCGGCAAGCUGGAUAAAGAGGAAAGACUCAAUUGUC
rnacentral:lncRNA from 1 species